rnacentral:rRNA from 1 species
UACGUAGGGGGCAAGCGUUGUCCGGAUUUAUUGGGCGUAAAGAGCGUGUAGGCGGUUUUACAGGUCCGCUGUGAAAACUCGAGGCUCAACCUCGAGCUGUCGGUGGAAACCGUAAGACUAGAGUCCGGAAGAGGAGAGUGGAAUUCCUGGUGUAGCGGUGAAAUGCGCAGAUAUCAGGAAGAACACCCGUGGCUAAGGCGGCUCUCUAGUACGGUACUGACGCUGAGACGCGAAAGCGUGGGGAGCGAACAGG